rnacentral:lncRNA from 1 species
GAACUUUUUAUCAAAUUUAGAACUUGUUGUGUCGGGGUUACUAUUCACGUAUACGGCACUAUUCACGAAUACGGCACUAUUCACCGAAAAAUAAAAAAAUUUCUUUUUGCCCAAAAUAUCUAUUCUGGAUACUAGCUUUGAUUGUAUCCAUGUUUUGAUCAUUCUUGAAUUUUACACCAAUAUGAUUAUUUUCGAGGUAUUUUUGGACAUGGGUAAAACAAAGUGAUUUGAUUCUGUCGAGUGAAUACAAUUAAAUACAAUCAAGCGGAAUCCGAUUUUGAUGCAACGAAAAAAAAUGAAUGAAAUAGAAAAGAUAAAAAAUCAAUAUCCAUAAAAGAAGAUGGGUAUAAAAACUUAUUAGAUACCGAGGUCAAUAGUAUCUAAUAAGUUCUACCCUUUGUCAUUUUGUUUCACUAGAUUCGUUUCUUUAAAAAUAUGUUUCAUCAUCCUCAGUCUUAAAUGAUGAUAUAAAUGAAUAUCUUUGGCCUGUAGUGCAAAGAUGAACGAUUAACUGAUAAAUAUCUUUGGCCUGUAGUGCAAAGAUGA